rnacentral:rRNA from 1 species
CUACGGGUCGCAGCAGUGGGGAAUAUUGCGCAAUGGGGGAAACCCUGACGCAGCCACGUCGCGUGGGUGAUGAAGGCCUUCGGGUUGCAAAGCCCUGUCGGGAGGGAAGAAGGCAUCGCAAGAUGUUUGACGGUACCUCGCAAGAAAGCACCGGCUAACUCCGUGCCAGCAGCCGCGGUAAUAGCGGAGGGUGCAAGCGUUGCUCGGAAUUACUGGGCGUAAAGCGCACGCAGGCGGCAUGUCAAGUCGGAUGUGAAAGCCCCGGGCUCAACCUGGGAAGUGCAUCCGAAACUGGCAAGCUAGAGUACGAGAGAGGGAAGCGGAAUUCCUGGUGUAGAGGUGAAAUUAGUAGAUAUCAGGAGGAACACCGGUGGCGAAGGCGGCUUCCUGGCUCGAAACUGACGCUCAUGUGCGAAAGCGUGGGGAGCAAACAGGAUUAGAUACCCGGGUAGUC